rnacentral:rRNA from 1 species
UACGUAGGUGACCAGCGUUGUCCGGAUUUACUGGGCGUAAAGAGCGCGCAGGCGGUCGUUCAAGUCGAGUGUGAAAGCCCCCGGCUCAACUGGGGAGGGUCACUCGAUACUGAUCGACUGGAAGGCAGGAGAGGGAAGCGGAAUUCCCGGUGUAGUGGUGAAAUGCGUAGAUAUCGGGAGGAACACCAGUGGCGAAGGCGGCUUCCUGGCCUGUUCUUGUCGCUGAGGCGCGAAAGCUAGGGGAGCAAACGGG